GAUAUACUCCCUCCGUCCGAAAAUACUCGUCGGAGAAAUGGAUAAAAAUAGAUGCAUCUAGAACUAAAAUACAUCUAGAUACAUCCAUUUUUCCGACAAGUAUUUCCGGACGGAGGGAGUAUAUA
rnacentral:pre_miRNA from 1 species